rnacentral:lncRNA from 1 species
GUUAGGGGAUCAAGAAUGGGCCUACGGUCCACCAAGGGGUACCGGGCGAGUUAACCCACGACGCCAGACGACUAUGAAGUAAGCGAUGGUCGCUGCUCUGAUAAGCCAACGACACUAUUUCAAGCAUUUCAGCGCUUGAACUGUAUGUGAAGCUACUAAAGAGGCCUGGGACCUUGGAGACAUCACAGUCUUACUAACUCACGCGCGUGCAAGUGCAAUUCACUUUUCAUUUAUCCAGUCAGCCCAACCGUCGUGGGGCGCCACGGUAAGGGCCCACAAUGCCCCUCAUCAUGGCCCGUAAGGUUGUCCAUCUUAAUGCCCUUCCCGAAUCCAACCUUAAUGCCCCCACUUAGGUCACAGGCUCGCGUGAAUAAGCCCG